CUUGGUGGUCUUAGCGCCCGUGGCCCACCCGAUCCCAUCUCGAACUCGGCCGUGAAAGCGGGCAGCGCCGAUGGUACUAGUGCCUAAGCACUGGAAGAGUAGGUCGCCGCCAGGC
rnacentral:rRNA from 1 species